rnacentral:rRNA from 1 species
UAGAUCUCCCCCCUUUGAGUACUAUACUUUUGUUGCUUUGGCAGGCCGCUUCGGCUACCGGCUUCGGCUGGUGAGUGCCUGCCAGAGGACCCCAAAUUCUGAAUUAUAGUGUCGUCUGAGAACUAUAUAAUAGUUAAAACUUUCAACAACGGAUCUCUUGGUUCUGGCAUCGAUGAAGAACGCAGCGAAAUGCGAUAAGUAAUGUGAAUUGCAGAAUUCAGUGAAUCAUCGAAUCUUUGAACGCACAUUGCGCCCCUUGGUAUUCCGGGGGGCAUGCCUGUUCGAGCGUCAUUAUAACCCUCAAGCCUAGCUUGGUGUUGGAGCCUGCCUCUGGGCAGCUCUUAAAAUCAGUGGCGGUGCCGUCUGGCUCUAAGCGUAGUAAUUUUUCUCGCUACAGAGUCCCGGCGGUUGCUUGCCAACAACCCCAAAUUUUCUAUGGUUGACCUCGGAUCAGGUAGGGAUACCCGCUGAACUUAAGCAUAU